GGGGCCGUACUGGUUUCGACGGGGGUAGUGAGGCUGGAUAAGCGGGCCGUGGCGCCUGACCACGAUAAAACGGGUAUCUUUUUAAAAUUAACUGACAACAAUACUGUUGCUCUGGCUGCCUAAUUAGGCGCCCAUUCGCCCCGGAAGGUCUACGAGCCGGGCUCGGGUGUGAUCUGAGUAGAGAACGUGCGUGCGCAAAG
rnacentral:tmRNA from 1 species